AGCGCGCCUCUCCCGUCACGUCCCAACCAUGGAGCCGUGGACGUGCGUCCCCUGGUGGAUGUGGCCUGCGUGAUGCCAGGCCGGGGCCUGGUGUCCGAUAAAGAUCCUAGAACCACAGGAAACCAGGACUGAAAGGUGCUAGAGAAUGGCCAUAUGUCGCUGUCCAUGAAAUCUCAAGGACUUCUGGGUGGAGGGCACAGGAGCCUGAACUUACGGGUUUGCCCCAGUCCACUGUCCUCCCAAAUCACAUCUCCAUGAUCCAUAGGCCCUGCCCAAUCUGACCUCACACCGUGGGAAUGCCUCCAGACUGAUCUAGUGCCGUGCCCCUCAUCCAGUCUCGGAUUGUGGGAGGCUGGGAGUGUGAGAAGCAUUCCCAACCCUGGCAGGUGGCUGUGUACAGUCAUGGAUGGGCACACUGUGGGGGUGUCCUGGUGCACCCCCAGUGGGUGCUCACAGCUGCCCAUUGCCUAAAGAAGAAUAGCCAGGUCUGGCUGGGUCGGCACAACCUGUUUGAGCCUGAAGACACAGGCCAGAGGGUCCCUGUCAGCCACAGCUUCCCAC
rnacentral:sRNA from 1 species